GCGCCCUUAGCUCAGUGGAUAGAGCGUCUGUCUACGAAACAGAAGGCCAUUGGUUCAAAUCCAAUAGGGCGCA
rnacentral:tRNA from 1 species